rnacentral:rRNA from 1 species
UACGUAGGGGGCUAGCGUUGUCCGGAAUCAUUGGGCGUAAAGCGCGUGUAGGCGGCCCGGUAAGUCCGCUGUGAAAGUCCAGGGCUCAACCCUGGGAUGCCGGUGGAUACUGUCGGGCUCGAGUCCGGAAGAGGAGUGUGGAAUUCCUAGUGUAGCGGUGAAAUGCGCAGAUAUCAGGAGGAACACCAAUGGCGAAGGCAGCACUCUGGGACGUGACUGACGCUGAGACGCGAAAGCGUGGGGAGCAAACAGG